rnacentral:rRNA from 1 species
UACGGGGGGAGCAAGCGUUGUUCGGAUUUACUGGGCGUAAAGGGCGCGUAGGCGGCCAGCACAAGUCAGUUGUGAAAUCUCCGAGCUUAACUCGGAACGGUCAACUGAUACUGUGCGGCUAGAGUGCGGAAGGGGCAACUGGAAUUCUUGGUGUAGCGGUGAAAUGCGUAGAUAUCAAGAGGAACACCUGCGGCGAAGGCGGGUUGCUGGGCCGACACUGACGCUGAGGCGCGAAAGCCAGGGGAGCGAACUGG